UUACGUUUGGUGCUCGUAUAUUGUAUACC
rnacentral:sRNA from 1 species